CGGGAAAAGGGGGGGACCUUCGGGCCUUCUGUCAUCAGAUGAGUCUGCGUACCAUUAGCUAGUUGGUAGGGUAAUGGCCUACCAAGGCUACGAUGGUUAGCUGGUUUGAGAGAAUGAUCAUCCACACUGGAACUGAGACACGGUCCAGACUCCUACGGGAGGCAGCAGUGGGGAAUUUUGCGCAAUGGGCGAAAGCCUGACGCAGCAACGCCGCGUGAGUGAUGAAGGCUUUCGGGUCGUAAAGCUCUGUCKAGGGGAAAGAAGUGUAUUGUGGCUAAUAUCCACGAUACUUGACGGUACCCCCUAAAGGAAGCACCGGCUAACUCCGUGCCCAGCAGUCGCGGUAAUACGGGGGGUGCAAGCGUUGUUCGGAAUUAUUGGGCCGUAAAGAGCGUGUAUGCCGGUUUGGUUAAAUUCUGAUGUUGAAAAGCCCCUGGGCUUAACCCCAGGAAAGUGCCAUUGGAAAACUGGUUAGAACUUGAAAUACCGGGAAAAAGGGC
rnacentral:rRNA from 1 species